AAAAAAGGGAGACCCUCAUUGUUUGUUCUCAACAUUGCCACAUUGCCAGGCAUUGCAAGAUCAUUGAGUAUUGGCCAAGUUGUUUAGGCUCCACCAUCCUCAAGUGGAUGUCAAAAAGUAUUUGGUUUUCGUUGGAUGGUUAGAGCACAGUGGGUUUCAGAGCACAGCUAGAAAACUAGGUAUCAAGUACUGUUCUAACAGGCCAUGUGCUCUUUAUGCAAUUCCUUGCCCUUUUGAAGGACCAGAUGCUAACAAUACACCAGCUAGAAGGAAGAUCAAAGGAGGUGGAGAGCUUAUACUCGAGAAAGUAAACCAUAACCAAAACAAAGCUGCAGAUUUGUUAGCAAAUUUUCAAGGACGAGUCGUGGCUCCAGAUAAAUUUGCCGUGGCAGCUGCUCGGAAUCCUGACUGCAACCUGUCGUUGAUGGUUGGCACCACUGACCUCCCAGAUUGGUGUUACAUGGUGUCCUGUGGAACUGAAGCGAAGCAAUAUGCCUCUGAAUCCACUUCACCUGAUCACCUUCGCCUCUUCUAUCAGAGCUCAUAUUUCGAAAGUGAAAGCGCCCCAUCUUGUGCUUCUUGGCAGAGCAGAUCUUCGAGUACCCAUUUCUAAUGGCCUACAGUACGCAAGGGCCCUAAGAGAAAGAUGAGGCGAGGUCAAAAUCACGAUGUUCCCAGAAGACAUGCAUGAAAUCAAUAUACCGCGGCCCCAUUUCGAGAGCUUCCUCAACAUCGGAGGAUGGUUCAACAAGCAUCUGAAAUAGGUGAAAUGCAGCAGCGUGAAACAGAUUCUGGUGGUUCAUCGAGUUGAGAAACAACUAGCCGCCCAUCUAGGCUUUUGUCCAC